UUCUGUGGGGACGGAGCGGCCGGCCGCAACUUGCGGUUCGAGCUAGCGCUUUCCCUACAUCCUGCCGCGAACCGUGCUACCAUUAGUUUGGUGGCGCCGGGGAUCGGCUCGUUUACUUUGAGAAAAAUAGAGUGUUCAAAGCAGGCCACACGCCUUGAAUAAGUUAGCAUGGAAUAAUAAUAAAGGACUUCGGUUCUAUUUUGUUGGUGUUCGGGACUGAAGUAAUGAUUGAUAGGGACAGUUGGGGCGGUCAGUAUUCCAAAGCGAGAGGUGAAAUUCUUAGACCUUCGGAAGACUAACAGCUGCGAAAGCGUUCCGCAAGGAUGUUCCCUUUGAUCAAGAACGAAAGUUGGGGGAUCGAAGACGAUCAGAUACCGUCGUAGUCUCAACUAUAAACUAUACCAGCUAGGGAUCGGCCAACGUUAAAUUAUUCGACUUGGUCGGCACCUUAUGAGAAAUCAAAGCAUCUGGGUUCCGGGGGGAGUAUGGUCGCAAGGCUGAAACUUAAAGGAAUUGACGGAAGGGCACCACCAGCCGUGGAGCCUGUGGCUUAAUUUGACUCAACACGGGAAAACUUACCAGGUCCAGACAUAGUAAGGAUUGACAGAUUGAUAGCUCUUUCUUGAUUCUGUGGGUGGUGGUGCAUGGCCGUUCUUAGUUGGUGGAGUGAUUUGUCUGGUUAAUUCCGUUAACGAACGAGACCCCAGCCUGCUAAAUAGCGUGGUUGAGCUUUGCUCGGCGCAAGCUUCUUAGAGGGACUAUGAUGCGCGAUAGCACAUGGAAGUUUGGGGCAAUAACAGGUCUGUGAUGCCCUUAGAUGUUCUGGGCCGCACACGGGCUACACUGGCGCCUGCAACGAGCAUAUCAGCUGGCCCGAGAGGGUCUUGGCUAAUCUUUUGAACCGGCGCCGUGCUUGGGAUUGACCAUUGCAAUUGUUGGUCAUGCAACGAGGAAUGCCUUGUAAACGCGAGUCAUCACUCGCAUUGAAUACGUCCCUGCCCUUUGUAC
rnacentral:rRNA from 1 species